UACGUAGGGUGCAAGCGUUUAUCCGGAAUUAUUGGGCGUAAAGAGCUCGUAGGCGGUUUGUCGCGUCUGCUGUGAAAACUGGAGGCUCAACCUCCAGCCUGCAGUGGGUACGGGCAGACUAGAGUGCGGUAGGGGAGAUUGGAAUUCCUGGUGUAGCGGUGGAAUGCGCAGAUAUCAGGAGGAACACCGAUGGCGAAGGCAGAUCUCUGGGCCGUAACUGACGCUGAGGAGCGAAAGCAUGGGGAGCGAACAGG
rnacentral:rRNA from 1 species